rnacentral:rRNA from 1 species
UACGUAGGGGGCAAGCGUUGUCCGGAAUUAUUGGGCGUAAAGCGCGCGCAGGCGGUCAUUUAAGUCUGGUGUUUAAGCCCGGGGCUCAACCCCGGUUCGCAUCGGAAACUGGAUGACUUGAGUGUAGGAGAGGAAAGUGGAAUUCCACGUGUAGCGGUGAAAUGCGUAGAGAUGUGGAGGAACACCAGUGGCGAAGGCGACUUUCUGGCCUAUAACUGACGCUGAGGCGCGAAAAGCGUGGGGGAGCGAACAGG